rnacentral:sRNA from 1 species
CUCUGGUGGGACCUGUAACAAGGCAUUGGACAUCUGUAUCUGAAGCGUAGAGGAAAUAGUGUCUGCUGGGUGGGAUCGUUGUGAAGUUGAAUCAAUGGGGUGAUUGUGAGGAGGCCCAAGCAGUGCUGCGCACACAGUGACUGGCAGGAGGACACCUUCCCAGCUGGCGGCUGUGCCAACCGCUCCUCUCUCUGUCCCACCAGCCGGUGUUUGCCCCCAUGCUUCAGAGCAACCCACGCAUGCUGACAUCGGGCAGCCAUCCCCAGGCCAUUGUGUCAUCCUCUACCCCUCAGUACCCUUCUGCAGAGCAGCCCACCCCCCAGGCCCUUUAUGCCACUGUUCACCAGUCCUACCCACACCAUGCCACGCAGCUCCAUGCCCACCAGCCGCAGCCAGCUACCACACCUACUGGAAGCCAGCCGCAGUCCCAGCAUGCGGCCCCCAGUCCUGUCCAGGUGCCUGCCGUGGGGGGUGCUGAGUGGUCCU